UUGAGUGCGCUAUAAAUAGAUAGGCAUAAACAGAGGCAGAGGCAGAGAGAGAGAGAGUAUGGAAGUCGCAUCAUUCCAUCCUUCAAUUUACAAUUACACCUAUGGCUAUGGCCAUGGCCAUCUCUUCCCCUCUCCAAAUUAUGUGCACUGGACUCAGACCCCCUCACCUCCCAUCCUUUACUCCGCCGACAUCCCAGGUUCGUCUUCUUCUUCUUCUUCUUUUAUAGGACUGAAAUUUGGGUAGAUAUAUAUAUGUUUGUGAGGUUGCAGGUGUGCGCAAGGAGGAGAUAAAGGUGGAGGUUGAAGACUCCAGGUACCUCAUUAUAAGAACGGAGGCGGUGGCGGACCGGAGCUUUAGCCGGAAAUUCAGGCUGCCGGAGCGGGUCGAUGUGGAGAGGAUUACGGCGGAGUACGUGGACGGCGUGUUGACGGUGAAGGUGCCCAGGAGGGGUUUUUUCAUUCAUCCUGCUCACGCCCAUCUCCCUGCAAGGGCUGCUUGAUUCUAUCUUCAUAUCUGUAUAUAUGUGUUUGUGUGGCUUCCAUUUCAUAUUGGAUGAUUGAAUCCAUAAAUUCUUGCGUGCUCUUGAAAAUAACUCAGAUAUUUGAUUCUUUAGGGUAUGUCUAUGCCACUUGAAACCUAUUCUUUAUCACCAAUAUACUCUUUAAAUUAAUAAACUCUCUAAAUUAAUAAAUUUCUUCCAUCUCAAGUUGGAGUUGGACCACUUCAAAAAAUAAUUAAUUUUAAUAAAAUAAUAAUUUAUUGGAAAAUCCUUCAUAAAUAUAUAAGCCCCAUAAUUAUUAUAAAUUAUUAAUUUUAAAAUAUUACAAUUAUAAAUAUUAUGAUAACUUGUAAAAUAUGAACCUCUUAUUAUCUGUUUUUUUUUAUAAAAAAAAUUAACAUUUAAAUGAAUUUCAUUCCUGAUUAAUUUUGGUACCGCUUUUAGUGCUUCUUUUUGACAAGGAACUCUAUAAAUUAUUAAUAUAUCUUUAAAAUAUUAACGUAUCAAUAUAUUAAUAUUAUCUUUAAAUUAAUAAAAGCCAUUGGGAGCCAAAAUUAUUAUUGACAUAAAGAUUUAACUUUAUUCCCAACCAAACUAGGCGCAAGUGGGGUGGCCGUUGGUACCUGUGGAUCACAAGAUUCCGAUUCAGUGGGGCCUAUUUAAAUCUGAAAACAUAAAUUAAGGGGGCGGCUGCUUUAUGAAAAUUACCCAAUUAUAUUAAUCAACAGCCGAAAAUGGACUAAAAAAAAGCCGAAAACAAUUUUGGAUACAUUAAAAUUCAAUGAACCGAACCAUAUUAUGCUUACUCAGUAAUCAGUAUUUCGAAUAAGUACCCAUAUUUUUUUCAGUCCAUUCCCAAAUAAGUAUUUCAAAUAAGUAUAUACCCAUAUUUCUCAUAUUACGAGACUCUUAUUUUAUUCACAAAGGUUCAUCAAUUUUUCAAAAUACGUAUCAUUUUCAAGUACUUUGAAAGUUAGAAUAGAUUCACAUUUUAUAAGAUCAUAAACAUCUUACAAAAUGUAAAUGAUGCUUCAAAGAAGAUCUGUGCCUGCAAAAGGCAACUUGUCAUCAUAGAGACAUGACAAUUUGAGCAACAAUCCAAAUCUAAUACAUACAAAUAUAACCUUGGCAAGUAUGUCAACUAGCACUCAAAAAAUCAUCACAAAAACAUAUGCACCAAAAGUAAAGGCAAAGGAAAUAGGGUAAGAAGCACCUUUCAUGACUCCAACCUUGAUGAGUUUCAGUAGCUCAACAACCUCUUUCAAUCUUCUCUCUUCAUUUUCUCUAGCUGGCAAAUUCUUCCAUUUCCUACAUUCAUUGCAUAAACAACAUUAAAAAAUAUUAUUCAGCUUAAAUUUACAUAGAAAAUUGCUGCUCUAUCCAGACCUCUUAUCAUUUCCUGCCUUUCUAGUCAGUUCUUCAGUCAAGGUUGUUCAACCUCUUCAAAAUGCUGGUGACUUGCGAAUAGCUCGAGCACCAUUUUCGAUUUUGCAUAUUCUCUUCAACAACUCAGAAGCAAUGAAAUACCCUUCCUCUUUAUUUCUGAAUACGAAAGUGAUUGCAGAAGAAAAAGAUCAUUAUCAAUAUUGUAACAAAAUGAGCGCACCAGUUCGUACUAAACUACUAAUAGUUCAGAGAAUGAGAAUGCACCGUAGGAACUCAAGGAAAACAGUUUCCACACAUCCAUGACUCUCAACCAGUACGUGGGCGAGGGAAGGAUAGCGCGCGAGAUUUCUAAGGGUAGAGAGUGCGUGCUUAAGAACUUGUUGAUCCGGUAUGCUCCGGCUAACAGAGCGGAUUAACUUUAGUAAAGUGGUGAUGGCACCAGCAGCGACAAGCUCCUCACAGCAUUUUUGUGAUAAUUCUGUGGCCACAUCUGUUAAAAACACACCAAGAUUAAUGCCCUUUGGACAAAUUAUUAUGCACAAAUGAGAUGUUAAAAACUCAUACCCAGAGCCUUUCAAAAAAGAAAANAAAACUCGUACCCAGAGUUUCACACGUGUGCAAAAUGCCACUGACACUUCUCAUAUUAAGAAGUUCUGCCACUGCUGAAACAAGCCUGUUUAUUAAGCGCCUGCUAUCAUCUACAUUUGCAGCAGAUUUUUGCAUUCUCAAUCGCAAGUCCAGCAGCUGGCCUUUUGCUUCUUUGCGGGCGAGGUAACCUUUCCAAUAUGACUGCCAACGGUGAGAGUUCAAGGUUAGUUGAACAAAAUGAGAUGGCACAACCUUGAAUGUGCAAUAAGGACUCAAAGAUUGAGCACAAGUUAGACUAUUUUCAAUUCAUUAUAAAAGAGGAAUCAAAGCUGUGCUUUAACAAAGCUUAAACUCUGAGAAGACCUAUUAUCAGCAGAAACAAACAAGGUGACUAACAAUACAUUGAGAAAGUUCAUUCAUCCUCGCUCAACAAAGCAUAAUCAAGCAUGCGAAAUGGAAGUCCAAUGGAGACUCACUUGAAUCACUACUGCACGCUGCUUUUCUUCUUUAGCCAUUUGCCUUGCCAUCCAUCCCCGAAAAUACGUCUGGACAACAAUUGCGGCUUUUGUUUUGAUUCUAACCUGCAGAAUGUGCCGCCACCAUCUUUGCAACUUCAGUACUGAUUGAAGGAGUAUUCUCCAAUUCAAGACCUUGGUAGCUGUCCAUCAUGGAUCUUGUUGAACAGAAAGCUCCUGCAUUGAAGCAUAUUCAAGACAGCUAAGGUUAAACCAAGAAAAGAUAAAGAAAGCCUUUAACAGAAAACUUUACUCACCUAAAAGUCUUCUCCUGGUGGCCUGUCCUCUGAUAAAACGUUGAAUAUCAAUCGCAGCAAGCCUCUGAGAGAUGAAUGACUGACGACAAUUCAUGCAAUUCAAAGCACUUUGGAUCUNUUUCUAUUUGAUAACAAUAAUAAUAAUAAUAACAACAACAACAACAACAAUAAUAAUAAUAAUAAUACUCCCUCCGUCCGCCAAGAUUAUGUCACAAUUACUAUAUCGGGGCGUCCGCCAAGAUUAUGUCACUUUCCUUUUAUGGCAAUGGUCCCACCAUCCUCUUUAAUAUUUGAUCCUUACUAACACUCUUUAUUUACAAAAAAACCACUCAAAAUUCAAUCUCAACCACUCAUCUCAUAAAGUGAUGGGACCCUUUCUCCACUACAUCAAAAUCAUCACCAAUUUUAUUAAAUCCCGUGCCCAAGCAAAUUGCCAUAAUCUUGGCGGACGGAGGGAGUAUAUAGUAUUUUUUAAUGUAUCAAACAUAUCUUACUUGAUUAAUUACAAAUAAAUAAUUUAACUAUUUAAAUUUUGUGAUUUAUAAUUAUGUAUGAUAUAUAAUUAUUAUUUUUAAUUGUUUAUGGAAUGAUUCGAUACUAGUGACGCUUAAAAUACAAUUUCUGCAAUUGGCGAAGUUUUAAUUUAGUUUUUCCUUAUCGUUGGGAAUUGAAUGUGUAGAUAUUUUGGUUGUGAAGACAGGUCGAGUUUGGCAAGUUGAGUGCGCUAUAAAUAGAUAGGCAUAAACAGAGGCAGAGGCAGAGAGAGAGAGAGUAUGGAAGUCGCAUCAUUCCAUCCUUCAAUUUACAAUUACACCUAUGGCUAUGGCCAUGGCCAUCUCUUCCCCUCUCCAAAUUAUGUGCACUGGACUCAGACCCCUCACUCCCAUCUUUACUCCGCCGACAUCCCAGGUUCGUCUUCUUCUUCUUCUUCUUUUAUAGGACUGAAAUUUGGGUAGAUAUAUAUAUAUAUAUGUUCGUGAGGUUGCAGGUGUGCGCAAGGAGGAGAUAAAGGUGGAGGUUGAAGACUCCAGGUACCUCAUUAUAAGAACGGAGGCGGUGGCGGACCGGAGCUUUAGCCGGAAAUUCAGGCUGCCGGAGCGGGUCGAUGUGGAGAGGAUUACGGCGGAGUACGUGGACGGCGUGUUGACGGUGAAGGUGCCCAGGAGGGGUUUUUUC
rnacentral:lncRNA from 1 species